rnacentral:tRNA from 2 species
ACCCUUAACUCCCAAAGCCUUCGCUUACACUUCCUCUGACCCAUAU